rnacentral:rRNA from 1 species
GACGAACCGUGCGAACGUUGUUCGGAAUCACUGGGCUUAAAGGGCGCGUAGGCGGGUCCGCGAGUCUGCGGGGAAAGCCCCCAGCUCAACUGGGGAAGUGCCGUGGAUACUGCGGGUCUUGAGGAGGGUAGGGGCAUCUGGAACAUUGGGUGGAGCGGUGAAAUGCGUUGAUAUCCAAUGGAACUCCGGUGGCGAAGGCGAGGUGCUGGACCCUUCCUGACGCUGAGGCGCGAAAGCGUGGGGAGCGAACAGG